AUUGAACGCUGGCGGCAUGCCUUACACAUGCAAGUCGAACGGCAGCGGACCUUCGGGUGCCGGCGAGUGGCGAACGGGUGAGUAAAGUAUCGGAACGUACCUUUCAGUGGGGGAUAACGUAGCGAAAGUUACGCUAAUACCGCAUAUUCUGUGAGCAGGAAAGCAGGGGAUCGCAAGACCUUGCGCUGAUUGAGCGGCCGAUAUCAGAUUAGCUAGUUGGUGAGGUAAAGGCUCACCAAGGCGACGAUCUGUAGCGGGUCUGAGAGGAUGAUCCGCCACACUGGAACUGAGACACGGUCCAGACUCUUACGGGAGGCAGCAGUGGGGAAUUUUGGACAAUGGGGGCAACCCUGAUCCAGCCAUGCCGCGUGAGUGAAGAAGGCCUUCGGGUUGUAAAGCUCUUUCGGCCGGGAAGAAAUCGCUUAGGUUAAUACCCUGAGUGGAUGACGGUACCGGAAUAAGAAGCACCGGCUAACUACGUGCCAGCAGCCGCCGCGGUAA
rnacentral:rRNA from 1 species